rnacentral:rRNA from 1 species
AACGAACGCUGGCGGCAUGCCUAACACAUGCAAGUCGAACGAGACCUUCGGGUCUAGUGGCGCACGGGUGCGUAACGCGUGGGAACCUGCCCUUAGGUUCGGAAUAACUCCCCGAAAGGGGUGCUAAUACCGGAUAAUGUCUUCGGACCAAAGAUUUAUCGCCUUUGGAUGGGCCCGCGUUGGAUUAGCUAGUUGGUAGGGUAAAAGCCUACCAAGGCGACGAUCCAUAGCUGGUCUGAGAGGAUGCUCAGCCACACUGGGACUGAGACACGGCCCAGACUCCUACGGGAGGCAGCAGUGGGGAAUAUUGGCCAAUGGGCGAAAGCCUGAUCCAGCAAUGCCGCGUAAGUGAUGAAGGCCUUAGGGUUGUAAAGCUCUUUUACCCGGGAUGAUAAUGACAGUACCGGGAGAAUAAGCUCCGGCUAACUCCGUG